rnacentral:lncRNA from 1 species
GACUGAUCAUAUCUGCUCUGCUGUGUCGCAGAUCAAAGGAAAUGAUGUUCUUGAAAGUACUUUGUGAGUGGUGGUAUUUCAGACAGAUGUGUCCCAAGAGCUUGUCCCUGGGGUUAGCACGUUCCAGGCCCUGAUCUUCUUCCCUAUCGUUUUACUGUUUCGAGACCAGUGGGGCUGCCCUGGGACGGUAAAGAUCAACAUCUGGCCUGAGGCUCUAACUCAGCAACAGAGCCCUUAUACCUAGCAGCCCACUCCAGAUGGAGUCAACAUGACAACUAAGGAGAGCCAGCACAGAACUCGUGCUUGGUACUGAGAACAUGGUCAAAACCCAGGCAGGGCUGGGUACGUCACAGAUGUACCGACUGAUACCUACUGAUAUGCUGCUAAGUGGUCAUGUUGUCAAAAUCUCUCCUAAAUAUUUAGGUUUAUGUUCAUGAAUUUAUGAUGCUUUCAUCUUUGACAGGAAACUUCUUGUUGCGGUGGGUAGCAGUUAAUGCAGAGUCAUCACUUUUCAAAGUGCUGAGAAAACAAAUCAAAACACCAGAUAGUGCAAGCCUUGGCUACACCUUAUCUCAAAUAUAUAUAUGUGUGUGUGUCAUUUGUAUUGUAAUGCAAUGUAACCUCAAAGGCAUGUUUUAAAACAAUAUUUAAGGACACAAUGAAAUCAAGUAUACUGUUACAUAAGAAAAGCAAACUACAGACUAAACAUGAGUCUUAUAACUAUAAUCCAAGCAGUAAGACGAGGCAGAAAAAUCAUAAUUUCACACACACAUACGCACACACACACAUGCACACACACAUGCACACACACACACUUUCUUAAUUAUAGAAAUUAUUAUUGUAUUAUUAACAAGUAAGUACUGAACACCAAGCUUGAGCCAGAAACUACACAUGCUUGUGAAGACAACAGACUCACAAUAGUCUAUAUAAAUUUGUACCAACUUAUGUAGAAAAAGAACUACAUGUUAGUUCUUUUCUAUAGUUAAAUAACUAUAUAUAUGAGCUACAUAUGUACAUGUGUGUAUUUUUAUGUAUAUGGAAAUAUACUCAGGGCUGGAUUGAUGUCUUAGCAGUCAAGUGCAUUUGCUGCUCUUGCAGAGUUUGGAUCCCAGUACCCACAUCAGACAGCUCACAGCUGCUUUUCCAAUUCCCUCCUCUGGCCUCUGUGGGUGCCCACACACAUGUGAUGUACACACAGAUAUAGACACAAACACACAAGAUAAAAUAAACCUUAAGUAAGGUUGGGGAGGCUCGCUCUGGAGCCUACUUGGUACUGCCCAUCUGUCUACGGAGGGGUGUGGCAGCCUCCCCUGGGGCAAGGCUAGUCUAGCAGCAACUACCUCCCCUCCUCCACCCCCAAAGUGGCACUUCUCCAGCAGCUGUCAACUGCCAAUAGCUCCUCGGUUAGAGGCAUAGCCACUGGAGGCCCUCGCCCUCCACACUGGACUCUUUAACUGACUACUAGAUUGUGGGUAGGUAACCACAGCUGUCAGCUGUCACCAUUUGUGUACACCACAGCCAUGCCAUGGUCAGAGGACCUUGGGUCCCAGCACUCUCCCUGUCCUCUGGAUCUUAUGUCCCCCACCCUUAGUGUUCUGUGGUCCUUACUGAGGAGGGUUGAAAUGCACGUCCUAUCUAAGGCAGAGUACUCAGGCAUUUAUUCUCAGGACAGUUUUUGUUUUUUGUUUUCCCCUCAAGACGGGGUUUCUCUGUGUAGUCCAGGCUAUCCUUCAACUCAUGAUCCUCCUGCCUCAGCUACCCUGGGAUUUUACUCAUAGAAUUUAACCUAAUAAUUCAGGAUAAGCAUCCUUACACAAAAUUAUUUAUGUCCAGAAGGCAGGAUGAGGCCAGAGGUGGCCUCAAAUAGUAAAACCCUGUUUGGGGAGAGACAGUUUAUAUUCAAUUCUGGACAAAUUGCUAAAAGUAAAAUUUUUAAUUUCUCUCUCUCUUUCUCUUUUAAGUCUUUUUACGUAGUUCGAUCUUGAACUCAAGAUCCUCAGCUUCCCAUGAGCUGGGGUUUUAGGAGUGUACCCGGACACCUGACCCUUAAAACAAACGUACCCAUUAGAGAUCCUGAACAGCCUGAGAUUUGUUGGGGGCUGUGGUUUGACCUGGGGAGAUGUGACAGACAGGGGUGAUUCAUAAUCGCUUUCCUGAUUCUCCUCCACGAUGCGGCAGACAUUUCCCAUCUCCAUUCUCCACCCCUGCUCCAACAAGUCUAAAAUAUGCCAGCCCGUCUAGCUGGGGACCCCCUACUCUAGAGUCUAGGAACUUGUAGUCACAGCACAGUAUGACAAGCUUACCAUCAAGGUCAACCCUCUCUCCUCUUUCCUUUAAACAAAACCUUGUUCUUUACAUAACUCAGUGCCCCCAAUCCUCUCAAGUCUUCACCUCU